rnacentral:rRNA from 1 species
ACGAUGAAGCCCUUCGGGGUGGAUUAGUGGCGAACGGGUGAGUAACACGUGGGCAAUCUGCCCUUCACUCUGGGACAAGCCCUGGAAACGGGGUCUAAUACCGGAUACGACUGCGGAAGGCAUCUUCUGCGGUGGAAAGCUCCGGCGGUGAAGGAUGAGCCCGCGGCCUAUCAGCUUGUUGGUGGGGUAAUGGCCUACCAAGGCGACGACGGGUAGCCGGCCUGAGAGGGCGACCGGCCACACUGGGACUGAGACACGGCCCAGACUCCUACGGGAGGCAGCAGUGGGGAAUAUUGCACAAUGGGCGAAAGCCUGAUGCAGCGACGCCGCGUGAGGGAUGACGGCCUUCGGGUUGUAAACCUCUUUCAGCAGGGAAGAAGCGAAAGUGACGGUACCUGCAGAAGAAGCGCCGGCUAACUACGUGCCAGCAGCCGCGGUAAUACGUAGGGCGCAAGCGUUGUCCGGAAUUAUUGGGCGUAAAGAGCUCGUAGGCGGCUUGUCACGUCGGAUGUGAAAGCCCGAGGCUUAACCUCGGGUCUGCAUUCGAUACGGGCUAGCUAGAGUGUGGUAGGGGAGAUCGGAAUUCCUGGUGUAGCGGUGAAAUGCGCAGAUAUCAGGAGGAACACCGGUGGCGAAGGCGGAUCUCUGGGCCAUUACUGACGCUGAGGAGCGAAAGCGUGGGGAGCGAACAGGAUUAGAUACCCUGGUAGUCCACGCCGUAAACGUUGGGAACUAGGUGUUGGCGACAUUCCACGUCGUCGGUGCCGCAGCUAACGCAU